rnacentral:rRNA from 1 species
GCUCUUAAAGAUAGUGGCGGUCCUGGCGUGGGCUCUACGCGUAGUAACUUGCUUCUCGCGACAGAGUGACGACAGUGGCUUGCCAAAAGCCCGUUUGUUCCAGUCACAUGGAUCACAGGUUGACCUCGAAUCAGGUAGGAAUACCCGCUGAACUUAAGCAUAUCAAUAAGCGGGAGGAAGGA